GUAGGUGGCAAGCGUUGUCCGGAAUUAUUGGGCGUAAAGCGCGCGCAGGUGGUUCUUUAAGUCUGAUGUGAAAGCCCCCGGCUCAACCGGGGAGGGUCAUUGGAAACCGGGGAACUUGAGUGCAGGAGAGGAAAGUGGAAUUCCACGUGUAGCGGUGAAAUGCGUAGAUAUGUGGAGGAACACCAGUGGCGAAGGCGACUUUCUGGCCUGUAACUGACACUGAGGCGCGAAAGCGUGGGGAGCAAACAGGAUUAGAUACCCUGGUAGUCCAUGCCGUAAACGAUGAGUGCUAAGUGUUGGGGGGGUUUCCCGCCCCUCAGUGCUGCAGCUAACGCAUUAAGCACUCCGCCUGGGGAGUACGGUCGCAAGACUG
rnacentral:rRNA from 1 species